CAAAAACGAAAAGAGACUGGUCAAUUGAAGUCAGCCAAAGAAAUGAUAUCCAAAGAAAAAAAACAACAAAAAAAGUGGAGAGAAAAUUCUAACAGGAAGAAAAAAACAGCAAAACAUAUUGGCUCUUACCUCACCAUCAGAGGAAGAGCAAGAUAUCAUACCACCACCCAUCCCUCACAGAGUUUUGCAACCAAUUCAACCACCACAAAGCUCAGAACAAAAAACCUCAACCCCCCAGAAGAAACAUUCAAAACUAAAGAACAAUUGAAAAACACGCUAAAGAAACUCAAGGAAAAAGAUGGGAUUCUUGAAUGCAUGAGAAAGAGAAUAAAAAGACUGGAGGAAAACAGAAGCAGGGGAAACCAGGCCCAAAAUAGAAGAAAGACUGUGGUCCUGACCAACAAAAGGAAGAGAAUGAGAGCUCUUCUUGAAGCCUACCUUCACAGGGAUGAUGUCACAACUAUUAUUAAUGGAAAGCUGAGGAAGUCAGGAAAGGUGGUCAAAUAUAUAGGAAGAUAUACCUCACAGACACAAUGGACAAUCUACAUAAAAGGUUUCUUGCAGAGAACACAACACUGAAGAUCUCUCGAUCUCAGUUUUGUAAACACAGGCCCUUCUGGGUUGUCAGUCCUUGAGUUGCAGAAAGGGAGACUUGUGGAUGCAAGAUACACAAAAACUUCAAAGGAAAGGUGAAAAAGUUACACCAGCUUGGUAUCAUCAGGGCUUUAACACCUACAGAACUGGUGGCCACAUCUGUUUGUGAUCCUGACAACAUGAACUGUAUGUACAAUAGAUGUAACAAAUUCCAUGAAAAAACAUUUCCCACAGAGAUCAACCCAAACACAAAGGGCAACAUUGCGUCCUGGGAAGAGUGGGUUACUAGGUCCAAACUUUGAGAAAAAGUUUGGAACUAAAACGUCUUGCAGAGCUCACCCAAGAGGCUCUCCCUCGGUUCUGUAUUCAUUUAUACAACAUUAGUCACCAGCAUGAUGAACUGAAAAAGCUGAAGGACAGCUUGACAGAGGAGGAAGUUGUAAUCCAUGUAGAUUAUAGUGAAAAUUAUAACUGCAAAUGGAGCAGGGAAAUAAUGUCCACUUUGGAGGGUCACAGAAGCAGGUGAUGAUUCACACUGGAGUGAUCUACUUUUCUGGAGGAAAGGUGGAAGCAUUUGCCACACUUUCAGAGUCUCUAGCACAAUGCUAUUACUACAUGGGCCCACCUCUUGGAUCAUGUCAGAGCCAGCCAUCCUGCUGCAUCAAGGAUUCACUUCUUGUCCGAUGGGCUAACUUCUAAGCACAGGAACAAGACAGCAUUUUACAUGGUCUUAACAGUCCCGUUCCUGAAAGGUUUCACAUCAAUGAACUUCAAAGAGGCAUCACACAGAAAAGGAGCCCCAGAUGGAGGUGCUCUAAAAAACCUUGCAGAUCGGAUGGUGGCCUAUGGGACUGACAUUCCCGAUGCACAGGCUCUAAUGGAAAACCUUUCCAAACAGAGUUCUGUCAAACUUUUUGAAGUGACAAAGGAACAAAUCUCAAAAUGUGGGGAAUUAGUUCCCCCAUCCCUGAAGACAGUGCCAGAGACACUGAGAGUGCAUCAACUUGUUGCCACAGAGCCUGGAACCAUCAGAACAAGAGACGUCUCCUGCUUUUGAAGUCCCUCCUGCAACUGUUUCUCUCCAACAGAGUUCGUUUUUUGUCCAAAGGAGGUGGAAGAGGAAUGCCAUGAGGAUCAAGCUCCCACAAUCAGGGUUGGAAAAUGGGUUCUUGUUAACUAUGAUGGAGAUCUCUACCCUGGCACAGUCACACAGAUUGUUGGUGAACAAUAUGAGAUUGAGAUGAUGAGCAGAGCAGGGGAAAACAGGUUCUUUGUACCAGCAACACAGUUUACAGGCGACAAGGUGUGGUACAAUGAAACAGACAUAAAAGAAGUCAUACCUGAGCCCAUGCCUGCAACAUCCUCUGCCAGACACUUCAGUGUGCUGCCUGAGAUUUGGGGAAAAUACUCCACAAAGAGAACCUAAGUGGACUAGAAUAAAAUAGUCACUUAAAAGUUCAUUGCGUUUAAUGAUACAGCAUUAUUAGGUGUAGAAUGAGGUGUGUUGCGUCAGGUGAGAGCUUGAUUGGGAGAGGGUUCGAUCAUCCUUUGUUAAUUAUUUAAGGCAGGUAGGCGAGCCCAGCUGACUGAUCAGAUGACGGAGGUGAGUGGACCAGGACUGGAGCGACGACGAUCAAGCCGAGAUGGAGUGGAGAACUGGGGUAGAUAUACUGCCGGGAUCAGGAGCGGAGAGAGGGAGAGCACACACAGGGGGAGAGGGGAGGAGACACAGGGAAAAAACAGAAAUGCGAAACGAGGGAAAGAAAAAAAAGGAACAGCGAAAGAACACAGGGCACUCACCGUCAGCCGGGCUGCCACCGCAACAAUUAAUUUUUUGCAGUCAUAUACUUAUGCAGUUUGGAGCAGGCAUUUUCUUUUAUUAAAAGUAUGUUUUUAAUUUGAAGAAUUGGAAUUUGUGACAGCUCAUGUGACUUCCUUUUUGGACCAUUCUUUCUGUUUCUAGGAGUGAGGCUGGGCCUCAUUGAUACUACUGCUCCCUAGCUUUAUAGGGUGGUGGAUUCAGUCACUGUGUCUCUCUCUCCCUAUGUGGUUUGUUGUUUGGGUUAGAUUUUCUUUGUGUUUAGUUGCUUUGUUCAUUACACUUCACUGUACAUGCAGACAGUCAACACACUACUGACGGUACUGACUUACAUACUUUAUCUGUUAUUUUGUAUUAGUCAACGUUGACAAGCCUGGAUGCCGCCACAUUUAAGACACUGUUGUGUGUUUAACCGUGUUCUGAAGGUUUAUUGUCUCCUAAGAGUCUAGAGCAACAACUUUUUCUCCACAACAUCCAGAUGGGCAGCGAAAGCAGUGAGAAUUCAAGAUCACCUCAGGUGAUACGGACAACUUCAACUGGAAGUCCCCUACCAGAAGAGCUGAGAGAAACAUGUGAACUCGUACAUCCCAACAUGAGACAACCUGAGAGAUGGAGAUGGACGGAAAAAAUCCUGCUGCAAGACAUUCUGCUGAAAGAGAACAGCUGUAGUGUUCACCAUCGUCCUGGUCAACACGUUUUAGAAUACUUCAACUCUGGUCACUAGCCCAACAAGAUGACAGACGUUUCCCUACAAAUCUAGGAGCUCUCAACAAACAAUAGUACUUAUAUAACCACAACACCCACACAGAUUAUUGAUACAUUUGCAUUCACCAGUCGAACUGAUGUCAUUUACACUGAUUUUCUACACGGACUGUUUCACACAAGGAAGAAAAAAUAACUGUCAUAACCAGUGAAGAUGCAAGAAGAGGGGAGAUGUGACAUUGGCAUGUUACCAACGCAGGAGGAAGAGGACAGAAGAAGAGGGAUUCAUAAUAACUACAAAUAAACCAUGUAAUCAAGGAGAAGACAAUGACUGUUUCUGGAGUAGUCCUGUUUUUGAAUUACAAAGAUGAUCUGUUGGUAUAUUUGUUUUAGUUCUUUAUUUAUUUUUUCAGCAAAUUCUAUUCAUGUUUUUAAUUCUUGUUUCUGAUUGUUUUUUCUUUCUAAUGUUAUUGUUGUGAUUUUGUAUGCAGGUUUUCUUAUGCAUAUUGUAUCAUUUUAGUUUCUAUGUUUUCUUUCCAACAAAUGGGUAAAUGACCAAUUCUGGCCCCUACGGUAUUAUGACCAUGCAUGUAAGCUAUUUUAACACCUGUAUUAAGUGUUUCUCUGAGAUCAUUCUACAUUUUUUUAAACUUGCCCAGCACAUGUAGAUCAGCCUUAAUGUACAGAUGAUAUAGGUUUGUACAAAUCUAGUCCUUCAUAUUUUUUAUUGUUUUAUUUUUUCUUUCUGUUUCUAAUUCAUUGUUUUAACUAUUCAUCAAAAAUAUAAUGUACUCAUUUUUUGUAUUCCCACUAAGACAGUUUUACAGUGAAUCCUACCAUUUUGAUUUCUCAAAAACAUUUUGUUGACACUUUGUGUCAAAAGGAGGGAAAUGUCACCGGAGGAACCCAACCCCCUGAAUUGAGCCUAUCCACCUUGUC